UACGGGGGGGAGCAAGCGUUGUUCGGAUUUACUGGGCGUAAAGGGCGCGUAGGCGGUCAGCACAAGUCAGUUGUGAAAUCUCCGGGCUUAACUCGGAAAGGUCAACUGAUACUGUGCGACUAGAGUGCAGAAGGGGGCAACUGGAAUUCUCGGUGUAGCGGUGAAAUGCGUAGAUAUCGAGAGGAACACCAGUGGCGAAGGCGAGUCCCUGGACAACACCUGACACUGAGGCACGAAAGCUAGGGGAGCAAACAGG
rnacentral:rRNA from 1 species